GGGUAGGUAACUGACCAAUUGCAUCAGGAAUUUUACCAGAGAUUUGAUUGUGGCUCAAAUUGAGAUUUAUUAGGGACUUCCAUGAUAUUAUAUCUGAUGGAAGUGGACCAGUAAACUGGUUAUGAUCAAGCAGAAGAGUUGUUAGGUGGGGCAGAAGAGUUGUUAGGUGGGGAAGAGAUGUUAGCUCUUGCGGAAUGCUUCCAUUGAAUAGGUUGUGACUAGCAUUGAACACCACCACUUUCUUCCAUGAAGACACUCCAUCUGGAAUUCUACCAGAAAAUUGAUUAUAACUAAUGACCAGAUUUGAAAGAUUCC
rnacentral:lncRNA from 1 species